GACGAACGCUGGCGGCGUGCUUAACACAUGCAAGUCGAACGGACAGGCUCCAGCUUGCUGGAGUACUCGAGUGGCGAACGGGUGAGUAACACGCGGGUAAUCUGCCCUGCACUCUGGGAUAAGCCUGGGAAACUGGGUCUCAUACUGGAUAUGACCUUUCUCCUUAUGGGGUUUGGUGGAAAGUUUUUCGGUGUAGGAUGAGCCCGCGGCCUAUCAGCUUGUUGGUGGGGUGAUGGCCUACCACGGCGACGACGGGUAGCCGGCCUGAGAGGGUGAUCGGGGACAUUGGGACUGAGAUACGGACCAGACUCGUACGGGAGGCAGCAGUGGGGAGUAUGGCACAAUGGGCGGAAGCCUGAUGCAGCGACGCCGCGUGAGGGAUGACGGCCUUCGGGUUGUAAACCUCUUUCAGCAGGGACGAAGCGUAAGUGACGGUACCUGCAGAAGAAGCACCGGCUAACUACGUG
rnacentral:rRNA from 1 species